UCUGACUUCAGAAAAUUUCAUUUGAGCUGG
rnacentral:piRNA from 1 species